AUAACCCUGCAGAACCCACAGGACAAUGCAGACAAUGUGGCUUCCUCAGACAACACAAGCCCUGGACAUUACCUGGGAGAAAAGGUCUUGCUAUAUUGCCCAAGCACGUCUUGAACUACUGGGUUCAAGUGAUUCUCCCACCUCAGCCUCCAGAAAUGCUGGGAUUACAGUUAUGAGGGACAGUCCAGUUGGAUCUGAGUUCUUUGAUUGGGCUUGUAGAGUUAGCCGUGGGAAACUAAAAUCUGCCAUUGAAAAGCAGUGA
rnacentral:lncRNA from 13 species